ACAAACAUUGACAUUAUUAUUUACGGCAAGGGAAUUUAGAUUGAGUUAAACCAGACGGUACGAUUUUGUUGUCAUGCGCUGUAGGUACUAAGUGUGACGGGCCAGGGCUACGCGUGUCCCGGCUCCAUACGCCUUCCAUUGUAUUUCUCUGGUCUGUGUACAAAACUUACAUCGCGUGGUAUCAUUUCUUGUAACAAUAAAACAGCGUGACUCCAAUAUCCUUCUAAAAACAUUUCUGUAAGUAUAGGGAGACUGGGGACACUUGAUCCCCAGGGAGACUUGAUCCCUUGUCAAUAAAUCGAUAAGCACACGGUAUUUUUAUUUUAAAUACUAGCAAUACUGUUGCCUUCACUCAUUGUAUAUGGCUGAACGUAAAUUUGACGGUUUACAAUCGACAACUUCAGAACAGUGGUGCCAUUUUGUUUUCGCCAGGUGAAAAUAUUUUUCUAUGGAAGGAAAAUGCCGAGAACGUACAAACCUAAAGAGGGCGCUAAGAAACACAUAGACAAAACAAACUUGAAUUAGCGGUUAAAGAGAUUUUGAAAGGAAACACUGUCAAAGGAACUGCAAAACUUUAUGAUGUGCCUUUGAUGACACUAAAAAGAUACGCCGGAAAACAACAACGACAGCCAGAUGUUAAAAUAUCCUAUAAACCUGACUAUAGACAAUCCAAAGUUUUUACUGAAGAAGAAGAGACCGAGUUGGCUAAAUACUGUGAAAAGGCAAGUAAACUUCACCAUGGCUUGAACUCAAGUAGCGUGCGGAGGUUGGCGUACCAAUUUGCUGUAGAAAAUAAUAAACCAGUUGACAAAAUAAAUAAAUGGAGUAACAAUAUGGCUAAACAAAAAUAAGAGAAAGAGUUUUAAUAAGGACCCACUUAGUAAGGACUGUUAUUACUAAGACUCGAAUUAUCUUUAAGUUACCAAAUACAGGCCUAAAAUAAUACAAACAUUGUAACUGUUGAUUUUUGUAUGUUUAUAUGGUUAAAUAAACAAUUUUUAUAUUGUAAAA